rnacentral:rRNA from 1 species
GCAAGGGCGGCAGCUACACAUGCAAGUCGAGCGGUAACAGAUCCAGCUUGCUGGAUGCUGACGAGCGGCGGACGGGUGAGUAAUGCAUAGGAAUCUGCCCGAUAGUGGGGGAUAACCUGGGGAAACCCAGGCUAAUACCGCAUACGUCCUACGGGAGAAAGGGGGCUUCGGCUCCCGCUAUCGGAUGAGCCUAUGUCGGAUUAGCUAGUUGGUGAGGUAACGGCUCACCAAGGCCACGAUCCGUAGCUGGUCUGAGAGGAUGAUCAGCCACAUCGGGACUGAGACACGGCCCGAACUCCUACGGGAGGCAGCAGUGGGGAAUAUUGGACAAUGGGGGGAACCCUGAUCCAGCCAUGCCGCGUGUGUGAAGAAGGCCCUCGGGUUGUAAAGCACUUUCAGCGAGGAAGAACGCCUAGCGGUUAAUACCCGCUAGGAAAGACAUCACUCGCAGAAGAAGCACCGGCUAACUCCGUGCCAGCAGCCGCGGUAAUACGGAGGGUGCAAGCGUUAAUCGGAAUUACUGGGCGUAAAGCGCGCGUAGGUGGCUUGAUAAGCCGGUUGUGAAAGCCCCGGGCUCAACCUGGGAACGGCAUCCGGAACUGUCAAGCUAGAGUGCAGGAGAGGAAGGUAGAAUUCCCGGUGUAGCGGUGAAAUGCGUAGAGAUCGGGAGGAAUACCAGUGGCGAAGGCGGCCUUCUGGACUGACACUGACACUGAGGUGCGAAAGCGUGGGUAGCAAACAGGAUUAGAUACCCUUGGUAGUC